AUUGAACGCUGGCGGCAGGCUUAACACAUGCAAGUCGAACGGAGCGAGGGUGCUUGCACCUUAGCUUACCGGCGGACGGGUGAGUAAUGCUUAGGAAUCUGCCUAUUAGUGGGGGACAACAUAUCGAAAGGGAUGCUAAUACCGCAUACGUCCUACGGGAGAAAGCAGGGGAUCACUUGUGACCUUGCGCUAAUAGAUGAGCCUAAGUCGGAUUAGCUAGUUGGUGGGGGAAAGGCCUACCAAGGCGACGAUCUGUAGCGGGUCUGAGAGGAUGAUCCGCCACACUGGGACUGAGACACGGCCCAGACUCCUACGGGAGGCAGCAGUGGGGAAUAUUGGACAAUGGGGGGAACCCUGAUCCAGCCAUGCCGCGUGUGUGAAGAAGGCCUUAUGGUUGUAAAGCACUUUAAGCGAGGAGGAGGCUCUUUUGGUUAAUACCCAAGAUGAGUGGACGUUACUCGCAGAAUAAGCACCGGCUAACUCUGUGCCAGCAGCCGCAGUAA
rnacentral:rRNA from 1 species